AUUGAACGCUGGCGGAAUGCUUUACACAUGCAAGUCGAACGGCAGCACGGACUUCGGUCUGGUGGCGAGUGGCGAACGGGUGAGUAAUAUAUCGGAACAUACCUUGUAGUGGGGGAUAACUAUCCGAAAGGAUAGCUAAUACCGCAUACGCUCUAAGGAGGAAAGUGGGGGAUCGCAAGACCUCAUGCUAUAAGAGUGGCCGAUAUCUGAUUAGCUAGUUGGUGAGGUAAAGGCUCACCAAGGCGACGAUCAGUAGCUGGUCUGAGAGGACGAGCAGCCACACUGGAACUGAGACACGGUCCAGACUCCUACGGGAGGCAGCAGUGGGGAAUUUUGGACAAUGGGGGCAACCCUGAUCCAGCAAUGCCGCGUGAGUGAAGAAGGCCUUCGGGUUGUAAAGCUCUUUUGUCAGGGAAGAAACGGUUGUGGCUAAUAUCCAUGGCUAAUGACGGUACCUGAAGAAUAAGCACCGGCUAACUACGUGCCAGCAGCCGCCGUAA
rnacentral:rRNA from 1 species